GAUGAACGCUGGCGGCGUGCCUAAUACAUGCAAGUCGAGCGAACAGACGAGGAGCUUGCUCCUCUGACGUUAGCGGCGGACGGGUGAGUAACACGUGGAUAACCUACCUAUACGACUGGGAUAACUUCGGGACACCGGAGCUAAUACCGGAUAAUAUAUUGAACCGCAUGGUUCAAUAGUGAAAGACGGUUUUGCUGUCACUUAUAGAUGGAUCCGCGCCGCAUUAGCUAGUUGGUAAGGUAACGGCUUACCAAGGCAACGAUGCGUAGCCGACCUGAGAGGGUGAUCGGCCACACUGGAACUGAGAAACCGUCCAGACUCCUACGGGAGGCAGCAGUAGGGAAUCUUCCGCAAUGGGCGAAAUCUUGACGUAGCAAUGCCGGGUCAAUGAUGAAGGUGUUCGGAUCGUAAAACACUGGUAUUAGGGAAGAACAAAUGUGUAAGUAACUGUGCACUUCUUGACGGUACCUAAUCAGAAGGCCACGGCUAACUACGUG
rnacentral:rRNA from 1 species